GACGAACGCUGGCGGCGCGCUUAACACAUGCAAGUCGAGCGAGAACCAGUCCUUCGGGACUGGGGAAAGCGGCGAACGGGUGAGUAACACGUGGGUAAUCUGCCCUCGGCACUGGGAUAGCCCGGGGAAACCCGGAUUAAUACCGGAUAGCCUUUCGAGCCAUCGGGCUCGUCAGAAAAGGUGGCUUCGGCUUCCGGCUGAGGAUGAGCCCGCGGCGGAUUAGCUUGUUGGUGGGGUAAUGGCCUACCAAGGCGACGAUCCGUAGCUGGGCUGGGAGGACGAUCAGCCACACUGGGACUGAGACACGGCCCAGACUCCUACGGGAGGCAGCAGUGGGGAAUCUUGCGCAAUGGGCGAAAGCCUGACGCAGCGACGCCGCGUGCGGGAAGAAGGCCUUCGGGUUGUAAACCGCUUUCAGGAGGGACGAAGCCACUCGGGUUAAUAGCCCAGAGGGUGACGGUACCUCCAGAAGAAGCCCCGGCUAACUACGUGCCAGCCGCCGCUGUAACAC
rnacentral:rRNA from 1 species